GACGAACGCUGGCGGCGUGCCUAACACAUGCAAGUCGAGCGAUCUUCUUCGGAAGAGAGCGGCGGACGGGUGAGUAACGCGUGGGUAAGCUGCCCUGUACACACGGAUAACAUACCGAAAGGUAUGCUAAUACGAGAUAAUAUGCUUUUGUCGUAUGGUAGAAGUAUCAAGGCUUUUGCGGUACAGGAUGGACCAGCGUCUGAUUCGCUAGUUGGUACGGUAACGGCUUACCACAGCGACGAUCAGUAGCCGACCUGAGAGGGUGAUCGGCCACAUUGGGACUGAGACACGGUCCAAACUCCUGCGGGAGGCAGCAGUGGGGAAUAUCGCACAAUGGGCGAAAGCCUGAUGCAGCAACGCCGCGGGAGCGAUGACGGCCUUCGAGUCGUAAAGCUCUGUCCUCGAGGAAGAUAAUGACGGUACAUGAGGAGGAAGCCCCGGCUAACUACGUGCCAGCCGCCGCAGUAA
rnacentral:rRNA from 1 species